GACGAACGCUGGCGGCGCGCUUAACACAUGCAAGUCGAACGGAAAGGCCUGCUUUCCCUUGUGGAUUGCGGGUACUCGAGUGGCGAACGGGUGAGUAACACGUGAGUGAUCUGCCCCCAACUUGGGUAUAAGCCUGGGAAACUGGGUCUAAUUCCCGAUAGGACUGCAGGGUGGUGCCUGUGGUGGAAAACGAUUUUCUAGUGGUUGGGGAUGAGCUCGCGGCCUAUCAGCUUGUUGGUGGGGUAAUGGCCUACCAAGGCGGCGACGGGUAGCCGGCCUGGGAGGGUGGACGGCCACAUUGGGACUGAGAUACGGCCCAGACUCCUACGGGAGGCGGCAGUGGGGAAUAUUGCACAAUGGGCGGAAGCCUGAUGCAGCGACGCCGCGUGGGGGAUGACGGCCUUCGGGUUGUAAACUCCUUUCGACCGCGAGGAAGCCACCUGGUUGGAAGGGUGGUGACGGUAGUGGUAGAAGAAGCACCGGCUAACUACGUG
rnacentral:rRNA from 1 species